AUUGAACGCUGGCGGCAGGCCUAACACAUGCAAGUCGAGCGGCAGCGGGAAAGUAGCUUGCUACUUUUGCCGGCGAGCGGCGGACGGGUGAGUAAUGCCUGGGAAAUUGCCCAGUCGAGGGGGAUAACAGUUGGAAACGACUGCUAAUACCGCAUACGCCCUAUGGGGGAAAGCAGGGGACCUUCGGGCCUUGCGCGAUUGUAUAUGCCCAGGUGGGAUUAGAUAGUUGGUGAGGUAAUGGCUCACCAAGGCGACGAUCCCUAGCUGGUCUGAGAGGAUGAUCAGCCACACUGGAACUGAGACACGGUCCAGACUCCUACGGGAGGCAGCAGUGGGGAAUAUUGCACAAUGGGGGAAACCCUGAUGCAGCCAUGCCGCGUGUGUGAAGAAGGCCUUCGGGUUGUAAAGCACUUUCAGCGAGGAGGAAAGGUUGAUGCCUAAUACGUAUCAACUGUGACGUUACUCGCAGAAGAAGCACCGGCUAACUCCGUGCCAGCCGCCGCAGUAAGAC
rnacentral:rRNA from 1 species